CAACUGUAGAGAUACAGCUUCCCUUCGGGGCAGAGUGACAGGUGGUGCAUGGUUGUCGUCAGCUCGUGUCGUGAGAUGUUGGGUUAAGUCCCCGCAACGAGCGCCAACCCUUAAGUUUAGUUGCCAUCAUUAAGUUGGGCACUCUAGACUGACUGCCGGUGACAAACCGGAGGAAGGUGGGGACGACGUCAAAUCAUCAUGCCCCUUAUGAUUUGGGCUACACACGUGCUACAAUGGACAGGUUACAAAGGGCAGCAACGCCGCGAGGCCAAGCGAAUCCCAUAAAACUGUUCUCAGUUCGGAUUGGAGUCUGCAACUCGACUCCAUGAAGCUGGAAUCGCUAGUAAUCGUAGAUCAGCAUGCUACGGUGAAUACGUUCCCGGGUCUUGUACACACCGCCCGUCACACCACGGAAGUCGAUAACACCUGAAGCCGGUGGGCCAACCAUUUAUGGAGGCAGCCGUCGAAGGUGGGAUGGAUGACUGGGGUG
rnacentral:rRNA from 1 species